CCUAUUGUUUCACCAAUAGUAGCCUACGAGCAGGUGCGCUUGUACAAGGGUAUCAAGCUGCUCGGACAAGGUAGCCCUCCCGAAAGGGUAAGAAUAAACCGUGAGGGAAAUUCAAAGGUCGCAAGCAUUAUGCGGUCGGGGAG
rfam:Bacteroides fluxus YIT 12057 genomic scaffold Scfld5, whole genome shotgun sequence.